rnacentral:tRNA from 1 species
CGAAAUCGGUAGACGCUACGGACUUAAAUCCGUCGACUUUAGAAAUCGUGAGGGUUCAAUCCCUCUAUCCCC